CAGCCGUAAACAAUGUGCGUUAGGUGUGUCGGUAACCACGUGUUACUGAUGCGCCGAAGAGAAAUCGUGAAACGCACCACCUGGGAAGUACGGUCGCAAGGCUGAAACUUAAAGGAAUUGGCGGGGGAGCACCACAACAGGUGGAGCCUGCGGUUUAAUUGGAUUCAACGCCGGACAUCUCACCGGAUAUGACAGCUGAAUGAUUGUCAAUCUGAAGGUUUUACAUGACUAGCUGAGAGGUGGUGCAUGGCGUCAGUGACU
rnacentral:rRNA from 1 species